GGUCCCAUAGUCUAAUGGUUUAGGACGCUGGCCUUUCACGUCAGAGAUACCGGGUUCAAGUCCCGUUGGGAUCA
rnacentral:tRNA from 2 species